rnacentral:rRNA from 1 species
ACCCGUCUUGAAACACGGACCAAGGAGUCUAAUAGAUGUGCAAGCGUGUGGGUGGAACACCUCCUUGCGCAAUGAAAGUAGUAGCUGGGAUUAUUGCACCAGCAUCCAACCAAUUAGCAGGCAGAGGUUUGAGUUUGAGCACAUGCAUUAGGACUCGAAAGAUGGUGAACUAUGCCUGAACAGAAUGAAUUCAGAGGAAACUCUGAUGAAGGUUCGUAUCGAUACUGACGUGCAAAUCG